rnacentral:rRNA from 1 species
GACGAACGCUGGCGGCGCGCCUAACACAUGCAAGUCGAACGGAGUUAUGUUGACAGAAGCCUUCGGGUGGAAGAUGAGAUAACUUAGUGGCGGACGGGUGAGUAACACGUGAGCAACCUGCCUAUCAGAGGGGGAUAACGUUCUGAAAAGAACGCUAAUACCGCAUAACGUGCGAGGGAGACAUCUCCCUUGUACCAAAGGAGCAAUCCGCUGAUAGAUGGGCUCGCGUCCGAUUAGGUAGUUGGUGGGUAAUGGCCCACCAAGGCGACGAUCGGUAGCCGGACUGAGAGGUUGAACGGCCACAUUGGGACUGAGACACGGCCCAGACUCCUACGGGAGGCAGCAGUGGGGAAUAUUGCACAAUGGGGGAAACCCUGAUGCAGCGACGCCGCGUGGAGGAAGAAGGUCUUCGGAUUG